UACGGGGGGGGCAAGCGUUGUUCGGAAUUACUGGGCGUAAAGGGCGCGUAGGCGGGCCAUCAAGUCAGAGGUGAAAGCCCCCGGCUCAACCGGGGAAGUGCCUUUGAUACUGACGGCCUCGAGGGGGAUAGGGGCGUGCGGAACUUCCGGUGGAGCGGUGAAAUGCGUAGAUAUCGGAAGGAACACCGGUGGCGAAAGCGGCGCGCUGGAUCCCUUCUGACGCUGAGGCGCGAAAGCCAGGGGAGCGAACGGG
rnacentral:rRNA from 1 species